UCGGAGCUGCUGAUAAUUCAGUGUCCCUCUUCCACCGACCACAAGAGCGAGUCAGUGGCUUAUCAAGCUGUGGAUCAAACGUGGGCGGUUGGCAACUUUAUAGAACACCACAAAAAACCCUUGCUGUGGUGAGGUGCAUUGCUUCAGACCUCGAAAGGAAGAGGAUCUGCAGUGGUGGCCGUAACGGCGUUCUUAGGCUGUGGGAUGCUACCAUCAACAUCUAAAGUCUGUCGAUCCUGAUGUGAAAGUCGUGUUCUGUUCCUCAAUCUGUGUGCAUUGUGUUGUUUUUACAUCGACAAAAAAAAAAUCUCUUGUUUUGAUUCGGGAAAGACAGAUGAUUGAAAUGCUGAAACUGAGAUGCAGCUUUGUUUUCUUUCAACUUCUUUUUCUUCGUUACUUCUUCUACGUUGUUUACUCUUGCUGUGUACACAAUAUGGACCCGUGUUUUUCACUUAUAAAUGGGCCAGCUUCAAUUUGCCG